rnacentral:lncRNA from 1 species
UAGAAGGCAACUUCAUGCGGUUACGCGCAUACAGUGUGUCUUGGACUAGCUUUUCCCGUGCGGCUACUCAAGUUAACGUAUGUUGCCGUGCGAAAUGAGAUGUAAAUAUUGAACUUUGACCAAUCAGCAUGCACGAACAAUAUGGUGCGGCAAGACGCGAAGCAAGCAAUCAACCAAUAGAAACAAGUUUUAUAUAUACUUGGAAAAUGCCAGAAGUUCAACCGUGUGGUUGGGGAUUCAGACUGGAUUCAGAUAUAAAAUUUGUUUUAGAAAUACAAAAAAGUUCAUGUCUGUAUGACAUGAGGUUAAAAGAAUACCGAAAAUAUAUGAUCUCUUCUUUCUAAUAACAAAUCAACCACCUUGUCA